GACGAACGCUGGCGGCGUGCUUAACACAUGCAAGUCGUACGGUAAGGCCCUUUCUGGGGUACACGAGUGGCGAACGGGUGAGUAACACGUGAGUAACCUGCCCACAACUUUGGGAUAACGCUACGAAACUGGUGCUAAUACCGGAUAUGUGCUCCUGCUGCAUGGAGGGGGUUGGAAAGCUCCGGCGGGUGUGGAUGGACUCGCGGCCUAUCAGCUUGUUGGUGGGGUAGUGGCCUACCAAGGCGGCGACGGGUAGCCGGCCCGAGAGGGUGACCGGCCACAUUGGGACUGAGAUACGGCCCAGACUCCUACGGGAGGCAGCAGUGGGGAAUAUUGCACAAUGGGCGCAAGCCUGAGGCAGCAACGCCGCGUGCGGGAUGACGGCCUUCGGGUUGUAAACCGCUUUCAGCAGGGACGAAGCUUUUUGUGACGGUACCUGCAGAAGAAGCACCGGCUAACUACGUG
rnacentral:rRNA from 1 species